CAGGUGUGAGCCUGAGGCAGUGACGGAGCACCUGGUUAAGGUGUGGACAGCCCAGGGAGCACAGGUGGAAGCAGUUCCCCUGUGGAGUGGGACUGGGUGGAGCCAGAGCCCACCUGAGCUCAUUUAAAGGCUGGCAGCUGAAGGGGAAGGGUCUGUGCCUGGAGGUUGCUCUGGCUGUUUGGCUGGUGUUGAGCAGAAGGUUCUGGACACCAGGACUCCUUUCAAGCGAUGUGAGGGCUCCACUGAGGGCCUUGGUGGACACAGCAGGAAGCCACAGCCAAGGCUGAACACCAACAUCAACACUUGAUCUUGUCUGGCAAGGAGCUCCCCUUGGCCUCCGUGUCUCGCUCUGGCCAGGCAGAUGUGGUGUGCCAACGGUACGCAGAGUGCAGAUCCUGAGCAGAAGAACAACUGAGGAGAGAGGCUCCCCUGGUGACCCAAACGCAGGCGGCUCUGCAUUGACCAAGUGUGAUGCCAAAGGAAGAGCUAGGCUUCAAAACAGGCCGCUGGACUGGAGACUCCACCACCAG